CACGUAGUUAGCCGGGGCUUCUUAGUCAGGUACCGUCAUUUUCCUCCCUGCUGAUAGAGCUUUACAUACCGAAAUACUUCUUCACUCACGCGGCGUCGCUGGAUCAGGGUUCCCCCCAUUGUCCAAUAUUCCCCACUGCUGCCUCCCGUAGGAGUUUGGGCCGUGUCUCAGUCCCAAUGUGGCCGUUCACCCUCUCAGGCCGGCUACUGAUCGUCGCCUUGGUGGGCCGUUACCCCGCCAACCAGCUAAUCAGACGCGGGUCCAUCCUGUACCACCGGAGUUUUUCACACUGUAUCAUGCGAUACUGUGCGCUUAUGCGGUAUUAGCACCUAUUUCUAAGUGUUAUCCCCCUGUACAGGGCAGGUUCCCCACGCGUUACUCACCCGUCCGCCACUAAGAUGCCAACAUUUCCACUCUCAGCAAGCUAAUCGCUUCAAAAAUGGCAUCCCCGUUCGACUUGCAUGUGUUAAGCACGCCGCCAGCGUUCAUCCUGAGCCAGGAUCAAA
rnacentral:rRNA from 1 species